AAGAGGAAAUAAACUGGAGAACGGAGUGUUAAAUAUAAUACAGAGCUGUGUGAAUGGGAGGGAAGAAGGGGAGGAAGGAAGGGGAUCAUAAGGAAAGCUGUACUAGAGGAAGGGAAGUGGAAGGGGUGAAGAGAAAAUAAUGUUGAUAAAGAAAUAUUGUAGUAAUGAUGGUAUUGUGUGAAGGGGAGGAGUGAUCACGUGAGGGAAGUUAAAGGAAGGGAAGUGGAAGGGGGUGGAGAGUAGGUGAGGAUGAUGAUGGUAUUGUGUAAACGGGAGAGGUGAAGGGGAAGGAAGGGCAGUUAUGUAAGGGAAGCCAUUUAAAGGAAGGGAAGUAGGUAGUGAUCAGAGAAGUGUUAGUGUUAGUGAUGAGUUAGUGUUAGCGAUGAGGUUAGUGCGUGAAUGGAAGGGAAGGAGGGGGAAUCAUGUAAGGGAAGGUAAAUUAAAGGAAGGGAAGUGGAAGGGAGUGAAGAGUAGAUAGUAACGCUAAAAGAAGUGGUGUUAGCGAUAAGGUUACUGCGUGGAUGGGAAGGUGAAAGGGAGGGAAGGAAGGGAAAUCAUGUAAGGGAAGGUAAAUUAAAGGAAGGGAAGUGGAAUGGGGUCGAGAGUAUUUAGUAAUAAUGCUAAAAUAAGUGUUAGUGUUAGCGAGAGGGUUAGUGCGUGGAUGGGGAAGGGUGAAAGGAAAGGGAAGGAAGGGGAGUCAUGUAAAGGAAGGGAACUGGAAGGGAGUGAAGAGUAAAUAGUACCUAACAGGAGAACCGAUAUUAGCAGUGGUCACGGUACUAUAUUUUUUUCUUACAACAAAGGAGACAGCUCAAGGGCACACACAAAAAAAGGAAACAAUAAUAAAAAAAAAAAAGCCCGCUACUCGCUUCUGAAAAAAAUCCAAAGAGGUGGCCGAAAGAGAGGUCAAUUUCGGGAGGAGGUAUAAACGAAAGGGGAGACAGGAAGGAAACAAACAAGGAAGGAAGGGAGACAGGCAGACAGUCAUGCAAGGAAAGGCAACACUAAAGGGAACGGAAGUGAAAGGGAUAGGAGAGCAAGUGAUAAGUGAAAUGAUCAAUAGCAACGAUCUCUGACCUCCGCCGCUACACACCUUUCUCGCCGCCCACGUCAGCCACGCACGCACAGAGGGACGGAAGGGAUGUGGGAAGGGAAGGAGAAACAGAGUGAGAGCAAGCAAUUGGAUAGUAUAAGAAAAGAUCGUAUAGGGACGGAAAGGAUGUGGGAAGGGAAGGAGAAACAGAGUGAAAGAAAGCAAUUGGAUAGUAUAAGGAAAGAUCGUAUUGGGACAGAAGGGACUUGGGGAGGAAGGGAAAAACAGUGAGAGAAAGCAAUUAAACAGUAAAACAAGAUCGUUGAGGAAGAGGAGGACAUGGGAAGGGAAGAUAGAACACAGUGAAUGAAAUCAAUUGCGUCGUAAGGAAAGAUCGUAUAGGCAGGGACGGAAGGGAGUUAGGGAAGAAAGGAAAAACAGUUGAAGGCAAUUUAGUAGUAAGGCAAGCUGCAUAUAGGGACGGAUAGGAUGUUUGAAGGAAAGGAGAAACAGAGUGAAAGAAAGCAGUUAGUUAAUUAGUAAGGAAAAGUCGUAUAGGGAGAGACGGGACGUUACGAAGGAAAGAAAGACCGCAUAUAAUAGUGAAAGUGUUGAUAAUGAGGACGCUGAAGUUUAAAGAAAGCGAUUAAACAGAGAACGUUUAAGGAGGGAAAGAACGUGGGAAGGAAAGAACAGACAGACAUAAUGAUAGUGAUGAUAAAGACAACACCAAAGUAAAAAAAAAUAUAAAAAAAAUAAAAAAAGCGAACAGGAGGAAUGGAAGGGGAAGGUGGGAUUGUAGGAAAGGGAAGUGGAAAGGGAUGGAAGAGGGGGCAUGGGCAAUGGGAAAGGAAGGUGGAUUGUAGGAAAGGGUAGUGGAAACGGGAGGAAUGGAAGAGGAAGGUGGAUUGUAGGAAAUCGAAGUGGAAACGGGAGGAAUGGGAAGGGAAGGUGGGAUUGUAGGAAAAGGAAGUGGAAAGGUGUGGAAAAGUGGGCAUGGGCAAUGAGACGGGAAGUGGAAAGGGGGAGGAAUGGAAGGGGAAGGUGGAUUGUAGGAAAGGGAAGUGGAGAGCGGUGGAAGAGGGGGCAUGGAAGAGCAGGGCAUGAGUAAAGGAAAAACCCAAAUACUUGAAUACCAGAAAGUAAACAAGGUGGAAUUUUAGGAGAGGAAGGAAAAAUUGGACCCGUCAGAACAAAGAAGUCUGCAGGAGGCCACUCAACCUAGACGCGACACGACGGCAGCUCUUUUCUUCUUUUUUUCUUCAUUUUUUACCGUAAAGGAAACAGCUCAAGGGCAAAAAAAAGAAAACUAAUGAAAAAAAAACAAAACUCGCAAGUCACUGC